AAGAGGUUUUUCUUCUCCAAAGAUAAAGCCAUUGCUGAAAUGAGUGAUAGUAACUUGGAUAAAACAACCGUUAUUCAGCAAGCAAUAGAUUUAUGUUGUGGAGUUAUUAUUACAUCAUUAUUAGUAACUCCUCUUGAUGUUACCAAAACUCGACUGCAAGCCCAGAGCAAUCUAUUCUCCAAAGGAUGCAUUUGUGAAAAUUACUCAAAGAGAGGGAGUUAAGUCACUGUGAAGGGGACUUCCACCAACACUUUGGUUCAGUUACCAUUGUGAGCCCCCUGGAGCUGAUCAGAACUAGAAGGCAGUAUUGCAAGUUCUCCUCCAAGCAACUGUACUUGUGUGUCAGCAGUAAAGUGGCUUCAGACGGAUGGCUUUCCUUGUGGAGGGGCUGGAGUUCUACUGUUCUGAGAGAUGUACCUUUCUCAGCUUACACAAUGACUGUUUUUGAAGACUUCCAAUAGGAAAUUUUCUCUCUGACAGCAACGUACUGGUAUAUUUAUGAACAUUUCAAUAAGAUCCUGUGCAAGGAACUUGGUACUCACGAGCCAACAUUUUUAUUGCUUUUGCUUAGGGAGCAGCAUCUGGCUCUGUAAGUAUGUAUUUUUAUGUCUAUUGUACUCUUUUAUAUAUCUGUCGCUAAUAUACUAUUUAAAAUUGGUAUGAUUUUACCUGGCUCUCACAGAAGUGUUGAUGGUUUUGGGGUGCAUGUGCUUUAAACACCCAUACCUGGCAUUUAAGCUGAUUAGGUAUAUCUGAAUAAAUUACAGUGUUCUGAAAUACAAGACUUUUAAUUAUGUCAGACACUUGGAAUUUUCAAUCUAGUUUUAAAUUGUGUGUACUUUAAUUUUGUAAAAAAUUAAUUGAAUGUUAAUUUUUUGUGCUCUAACAUUAAAACUGCUCUAUUUUCCUGAUAGAUUGCAUCUGUCAUAACUCUGCCAUUUGAUGUAGUGAAAACACAAGGCAGACUGGGAGUGCGAGACUUUAAAAAGUGUUGGUAAGGAUAAAAAAACCAUAAUGUCUGGAAAAAGUGAAUGUAGUGUUUUGGCAUAUAGACUUUUGGUAGGAAUUUUAAAUAUCUAUUUUUUUUCCUUUAAAGUUUAUCUAAAAAAUACUAGCGCUGACAUCUUUUCUACUCCAAAUUUCAUAGGAUAUUUUUACCUUCUAGGAUAAAUACAGUAUUUCAGUAAUGGCUUGGAGGAGGGAGAAGGUGUGAGCUCAGUACUAUUUAGUUUAGUGAGAUGGCAUAAAAUAUAAACAAAAAAUUCAAAGCUAUUACAUUUAGGGAGACCAAUUGCAAACUGAAGAUCUCCCUGCUCUUUGCAGGCAGGUUGGACGAGAUGAUAUUUAAAGGUCCCUUCCAAGCAAAAUGAUUCUAUGAUUGAAACAAGUUAUAUUUGAAUAGGCAAAAGUUUAAUUUCUUAAAAUACAUUCAGGGGAACUUACCUUCAGACUCAGUUUACCAUAAAGACAAGUUCUUGUUUAAGUAUCUGAACUGCAAUGAGCAUUUAGCUACACGUAUAGCGUGACAAUGAGAGCGACUGGGUCGUUUGAAAGCUAGGUGACUUUUUCCAGCUAUAUCAGUACUUUAGUAAGGAAUAUUGUCUCUGUUCUUGUAUCUUACUCCAGGUGUUACUACAGGGUUUUCUGUCAUGAUAUUUUAAGCAUUUUAUGAAUUUGCAUAUUUUAUGAAUUUAAUAUC